rnacentral:rRNA from 1 species
AUUGAACGCUGGCGGCAGGCUUUACACAUGCAAGUCGAGCGAGUGGCGGACGGGUGAGUAAUGUCUGGGAACCUGCCUGGUAGAGGGGGAUAACUACUGGAAACGGUGGCUAAUACCGCAUACCAUCAGAUGUGCCCAGAUGGGAUUAGCUAGUAGGUGGGGUAAUGGCUCACCUAGGCGACGAUCCGUAGCUGGUCUGAGAGGAGGACCAGCCACACUGGGACUGAGACACGGACCAGACUCCGACGGGAGGCAGCAGUGGGGAAUGUUGGACAAUGGGGGCAAGCCUGAUGCAGCCAUGCCGCGUGUAUGAAGAAGGCCUUCGGGUUGUAAAGCACUUUCAGCGAGGAAGCGGUAUUCGCAGAAUAAGCACCGGCUAACUCCGUGCCAGCAGCCGCGGUAAUAC